rnacentral:rRNA from 2 species
AAGGCAGCAGGCACGCAAAUUACCCACUCCCGGCACGGGGAGGUAGUGACAAAAAAUAACGAUACGGGACUCAUCCGAGGCCCCGUAAUCGGAAUGAGUACACUUUAAAUCCUUUAACAAGGAUCCAAUGGAGGGCAAGUCUGGUGCCAGCAGCCGCGGUAAUUCCAGCUCCAUUAGCGUAUAUUAAAGUUGUUGCGGUUAAAAAGCUCGUAGUUGGUUCUGUGUCCCACGCUGUCGGUUCACCGCCUGUCGGUGCAACUGGCAUGCCGUGGGAUGUCCUGUCGGUGGCGGCCAUGACCCACGGCGGGUGUAGGGCAACCGAAGCUCGCCGCUGCGCGUCAGGUCGCCGAUUCAAUCCUGCCGCGGUGCUCUUCAUUGAGUGUCGAGGUAGGCCGACACGUUUACUUUGAACAAAUUAGAGUGCUUAAAGCAGGCUAACAAUGCCUGGAUAUUUUUUGCAUGGAAUAAUGGAAUAGGACCUCGGUUCUAUUUUGUUGGUUUCCGGAACCCGAGGUAAUGAUCAAUAUGGACAGGCGGGGGCAUUCGUAUUGCGACGUUAGAGGUGAAAUUCUUGGAUCGUCGCAAGACGGACUAGAGCGAAAGCAUUUGCCAAGUAUGUCUUAGUUGAUCAAGAACGAAAGUUAGAGGUUCGAAGGCGAUCAGAUACCGCCCUAGUUCUAACCAUAAACGAUGCCAGCCAGCGAUCCGCCGAUGUUCCUCCGAUGACUCGG